AUUACGAUGUGAAAUUCAGUUUCCUGAAUUUGACCCUGAUUGGUGUGAUCUACUCGAUCCAGUAGGUUGAAGCCACGCCCUCACGUAACGGCUCUAGAAUGCGUAAUCUUCUUCAAGAUUUUUUCCCCCGCGCCAUUUCCCCCUCGCUUGUGCAAGGAAGGACUUGACUGCUCAAGGAUACACUUCCGUGACCUUGGCGAUCUUGAAAGACCCAGAUGCUCCGAUGCCCUUGGGUGUGGACCAGGGUUCCCUUUUCCAGCAAGCUUCUGAUGGCGACCUUGAUGCGGGUGUCUUCUCCACAUCGUAACCAUCGGCGGCCAAAACCUUAAGUGCUGGCAGAGAAACUCCGCUUCGCUCUUUGGAAGCGGACACGGCUUUGACGAUCCGAUCGCCGACACUGGGUCCGACCUUCUUCGCCUUCUUCUUGGUUGCUUUCGCCGGGGAUUUUUUUCUAUACAUUGAUUACAUUAACAGCUACAUGGAGGCUGAUAUAUUCGACAAACUACUGCGAUCUGCUAAAGUAUCUUUCAAGGUGUCCACUGAGCUCUCUGGAGUUUGCAGGUCUGCAUCAAAGUGAUGCUCACAAGGCAUCAGACCGUGGCCUAUAUCGCUGCCGCGGUAGAAGUCCCCGCCCACCUGGAGGCAGAGGCUCGGGAAUUAAUAUGUCCCGAGUCAAUGCUCGUCCCUCUGCGAGAGAUGGCAGAGGUCGAGGACAGUACACUGGUGACUGUUCAGGGCUGGGUCAAAGAACUAGGUGCGUUCCACCCGCACACAACACCCGGUGGCCCGCCAGUGCCUCGAAGGACCGUGGUGCCUCGAAGGACCGUGGUGCUGAAAGAUGUAAGGAAUUGGGACUGAGCCUCCACUCGACAGGGCACACUUCAGUGGAAGUUAUCAAUGGAGACAAGGAGGUCCAGGUCAUGGGGUACAGGACCCUCCCAGACAGGGACAUGGAGGUCCUGGACCCCAGUGACAAUGAACACGUCGUUCCACAGGCCAUGUGGGAUGCAGUCGUUGGCAAGACCGUCCCAGCCAUGCCUUUCCAAUUAUUAUUUAAAUUUGAAAAGGCCAAAUUACUUUAAUUACUUUAAGGGAGGAGUAGUCAUCGCCCCCCCCUGUUCGAGUUUUGUUUAACUGACAUUAAAUAAUUAUUUCCGUU